UACGUAGGGUGCGAGCGUUGUCCGGAAUUACUGGGCGUAAAGAGCUCGUAGGUGGUUUGUCGCGUUGUUCGUGAAAACUCACAGCUUAACUGUGGGCGUGCGGGCGAUACGGGCAGACUGGAGUACUGCAGGGGGAGACUGGAAUUCCUGGUGUAGCGGUGGAAUGCGCAGAUUAUCAGGGAGGAACACCGGGUGGCGAAGGCGGGGUCUCUGGGGCAGUAACUGACGCUGAGGAGCGAAAAGCGUGGGGGAGCGAACAGG
rnacentral:rRNA from 1 species